CAUCUUCUAGCAGUGACAGUGAGGAGGAAACAACGAAACACAUAAAGAAACAGGAGCAAGGAGGUAUAUAUAUGCCAAUUGUUCCAAACAGGUCAUCUCAAAAAAUAAAUCAAGAGGAUAAUAUUCGAAGGCCUGCCAUUCCUCCUGAGCGUCCCAGGAGUAUCAAGAAAGAUUCAGAUGCCAAAGAACCUUCAUCAGCCUCUAGUUCAUCUUCUAGUAGUGAAAGUGAUGAUGAAGCAGGCCACAAAGUGCAGCAGAGUCCAGGAAAGUUGGGCAUUCCACCCCGCCCAUUCAAAGAAUCUCAAACAAGGAGUCCUGAUCCAAAUGCAAAGUGGCCUACCAUUGAUCUUCUACACAUUCCUCACAUUAAGCGGUGCCUAGAUAUCAAAGCACCAUCUGUAGAUUCGGACACAUCUUCUAGCAGUGACAGUGAGGAGGAAACAGUAAAGAAACAAGACCAUGGAGCUGUACAUAUUCCAAUUCUUCCAAAUCGGUCAUCUCAAAAAGCCAGUCGUGAGCAUGACAUAAGAAGGCCUGCCAUUCCUCCUGAGCGUCCCAGGAGUAUCAAGAAAGAUUUAGAUCUCAAAGAACCUUCAUCAGCCUCUAGUUCAUCUUCUAGUAGUGAAAGUGAUGAUGAAGCAGGCCACAAAGUGCAGCAGGUUCCAGGAAAGUUGGGCAUUCCACCCCGCCCAUUCAGAGAAUCUCAAACAAAGAGUCCCGAUCCAAAUGCAAAGUGGCCUAACAUUGAUCUUCUACACAUUCCUCGAGUUAAGCGGCGCCUAGAUAUCAAAGCACCAUCAGUAGAUUCUGACACAUCUUCUAGCAGUGACAGUGAGGAGGAAACAACGAAACACAUAAAGAAACAGGAGCAAGAAGAUAUAUAUAGUCCAAGGCAAGAAACUGAUUUGCUUUACACAAAAACCCAAUAUGUUCAUCAUACUGCAGACAUCAAAUCAGUAUUAUCAGCUUCUGAGUCAUCUUCAAGUAGUGACAGUGAAGAUGAAAAAAGGGGCCAGACAAAGAAGCAGAGUUUGGGCUCAACGGGGUUUCAACAAUCUCAAACCAAACGUCAUGAUCCUAUUUACACAUCAAGCAGCUCAGAUGAGGAGGGGAUGGAAGAUUUAAGAAACCGCCCAGUUGCAAUUAAACCAGAUUCAAGAUUGCCUGAAAUAGGCCUCAGCACUAUCCCCUAUGUCAAAAAGCAUCUGGAUAUCAAGACACGUUCACCUAAGUCCUCCUCCAGCAGUGAUGAGAGUGAAGGUCGGACUACAGACCAGCCUGUUAAAAUGGCUAGCAACUUAGGCUCUCCAACUUCUACACUACACAAGCUUCCUCACAUUUCAAAGAAAGAUUCCAAUAUUACAUUAGAAAAGUAUGUUGUUAUAACAGAUGAGUUGACGGAAAAUCGAAAAGACAACUUCAGCACAACACCAGAGAUAAACUCUGAGCUCCAGUCACGAUGGGCCACAAUGAAUCUUGGUUUUUCCCGAUUUAGAAAGCGCCUUGAAAUCACAUCACCGAGUUCUCAACCAUCCAAAUAUCCCUCAUCACCUCUGCCAGACUCCUCUUCUCUGAAUCCUGAAAACAAACAUGUGAAACCCUCUGAUUCCUCUUCCAGCAGCAGCAGCAGUGAAGAUGAGAUAACAGAAAAUAGAGCUCCUCCAGGCAUGACAUAUGUUGACUUUCCAAUCUAUAAGCGUUCAAUUAUGAAAACUUCAUCGCUAUCUGAUAGUUCUUUCUCCCCCAGUGGCAAGACCCAAAUGGUAAAUGUUGCACAGGAAAGUGAAAAGGACAGAAAUUCAUCACUUGCUCCAAAGAGAGUAUCCAGUCUGAGCUUUGAGGAUGAAGUAAGGAGAAGGACUGAACAAAGACACAAUGCAAAUGCAGAUAUACCACCAGAGAUAAAAUGGACUGGUGUUGGUCAUCAUCUGUCUAAAAUCUCUACACCAGCACUAAAGACGGGUCUGAAUACUACACCUCCACAGCAGGCUUCACCUGCAAAACCAGAACUUCCCCAGCUGUACUCCUCCAGCAUCAAAAGUGACGUUAAAAUAAAGCAAGACAGUUGGAAAUCAGAUGUAAAGCCAACACAUAAAUUCUCAUCCAUUAGUGCCAAUAGUACUUCUUCUGCAUCCGGAGGUGCUCUUCACAGGCUUUACAACUCACCCAACACCACAUAUGAGAAUCCAAGCCCUCUUUUGCUCUCUGAUAGGAAGGAAAGAAAAGGCCUCAGUGCCCUAAAAGUCAUGUCAUCAGAGAGAAAAAUGUGGGACACGGUGGAUUUCAGUGGGGAUGUAUCUCCUACAGCUGAUGACCACAGUCCACAAGUUGACACCGGUGUUUAUUAUCGCAAGUCUGAGCCAGACAUCAAACCCCUGCCACGAUUACAUCUCCCCUCUGCUUCACCAGAUGAGAGAAGAGCUACAGAUUUGUUGUAUGAUCUUCCCCGCUACAGGAGCCAUGACAUCAAACCACCACAAGUUGCCCCACCUCCUAUUCCUGUAACACUACCGCCAGAGGAGGCCGUUGGGCUUUCAUGGAGAUCUCCACAGGACAAUAAGAAACACGGCUCGGAAGGAAAUAGAACCUAUCAGCAACAGAGACAAAACACAGAGGAACCUGUUGCUUCUUCGCUUACACCAGAAUACCCACCAAUCUAUUUAAACACUUCAAACAUCAGUCAUGUUUAAUGACAAGUCAAUUCAUGCUAAACACUUGAAAAGCCACCCAGAUGAUAGGCAUGAUUCUCUGAGCUUAAGUUAUCCUGUGAAUGUCAAAAAUAUUGUGAAUUGUAUAUUAUGUGUGACUUUGGAAUGAAAUGUAAGCUAUAAUCAUUCAUUGGCUAGGGCUGCCACAGAGCACUUAAAUGCAGUCUUUAUCGAUGCACCAUGCUUAUCUUUCAUGUUUGACUUAUUUCUGCAAAAUAAGAUGCCAAAUGAGUUAUUUACUUGCAUUCAUGAACAGAAUUUCUGACUUCUGAAGGAAGUCCAGUGUGAUGGCUCAAAUUUGUGUAUAAAAACCUAAAUUCAGUGAUGUUAAAGACUAAAUCAUGAAAUAAUUUACAGAUUUUUUUUUGUAUCUCUAAUUGAACAUUUUAGCAAAUAAUAAUAAUAAUAAAAAUAUCAAUUUGCACAUAUACAUUUUUAUUUGUAUAUUUGCUACAUCC
ensembl:lncRNA